rnacentral:rRNA from 1 species
AGAGUUUGAUCCUGGCUCAGAAUCAACGCUGGCGGCGUGCCUCAGACAUGCAAGUCGAACGAUUAAGCUUUCCUUCGGGGAAGAUAUAAAGUGGCGCACGGGUGAGUAACACGUAGGUAAUCUACCUUUGAGUGGGGAAUAACAGUCGGAAACGACUGCUAAUACCGCAUAAUGCAGCGGCACCGCAAGGUGACAGUUGUUAAAGGAGCAAUCCGCUUAAAGAGGAGCCUGCGGCAGAUUAGCUAGUUGGUAAGGUAAUGGCUUACCAAGGCUACGAUCUGUAACCGACCUGAGAGGGUGGUCGGUCACACUGACACUGAAUAACGGGUCAGACUCCUACGGGAGGCAGCAGUCGGGAAUUUUGGGCAAUGGGCGAAAGCCUGACCCAGCAACGCCGCGUGAAGGAUGAAGUAUUUCGGUAUGUAAACUUCGAAAGAAUAGGAAGAAUAAAUGACGGUACUAUUUAUAAGGUCCGGCUAACUACGUGCCAGCAGCCGCGGUAAUACGUAGGGACCAAGCGUUGUUCGGAUUUACUGGGCGUAAAGGGCGCGUAGGCGGCAGUUCAAGUCACUUGUGAAAUCUCCGAGCUUAACUCGGAACGGUCAAGUGAUACUGUUUUGCUAGAGUGCAGAAGGGGCAAUCGGAAUUCUUGGUGUAGCGGUGAAAUGCGUAGAUAUCAAGAGGAACACCUGAGGUGAAGACGGGUUGCUGGGCUGACACUGACGCUGAGGCGCGAAAGCUAGGGUAGCAAACGGGAUUAGAUACCCUGGUAGUCG